AGCAGAUUUGUCAAAGGCUUGCUAAAGGCUGUGAUGGAGCCACCCUUGUCCAAAGGACACCCCUUCGCUGCAAAAUUACAAUGUGGAUAGUUAUGUCAAGUCUCUGCUCAUGACAUUUAACUGUCAUAUUGGCAUAAAAAGCUGGUUUGGUAGGAGCUUAUGAGAAACGUUGGUCCUAUAUCCGUAUUGGAGCCUGAUUAAAUUUGGAUUGGUGCAUCCAUAUUUGGGGGUGGCAACUCCCAACACAAGAUUUUUUCCAUGUACAGGGGUUCGAACCCGAGACUUUUGGUUUAGGGUGGAGGAUUCUAAAAUCAUUCCACCCCAACCCAUCACCGGUGAUGUGUUGCUCGGGAAGAUUUAUACAAAUAGAAUCAUUGUGUUGUUAUUUAAUUUCUAAUUCCAUUUAAAUAGUUGUGAAAAAAUAACCUUCACAAAGUUUGGAGUUUUACCAAAGAUUUGAUACAAAUUGUGUUGUAAAUUUGGAAUAAAUUGUUGUGAGGGAUCACCAAAAAUUUCUAAUCGAUGGGUGUCAUAACACCUGACGAAUCACCAA